AGCGAACGCUGGCGGCGUGCCUAAUACAUGCAAGUCGAACGAAGCUGUUUUAACUGGUGCUUGCACCGACUUAAACAACUGAGUGGCGAACGGGUGAGUAACACGUGGGUAACCUGCCCCAAAGCGGGGGAUAACAUUUGGAAACAGAUGCUAAUACCGCAUAACCACAGAAACCACAUGGUUUCUGUGUCAAAGAUGGUUUCGGCUAUCACUUUGGGAUGGACCCGCGGCGUAUUAGAUAGUUGGUAAGGUAAUGGCUUACCAAGGCAAUGAUACGUAGCCGAACUGAGAGGUUGAUCGGCCACAUUGGGACUGAGACACGGCCCAAACUCCUACGGGAGGCAGCAGUAGGGAAUCUUCCACAAUGGACGAAAGUCUGAUGGAGCAACGCCGAGUGAGUGAAGAAGGUUUUCGGAUCGUAAAACUCUGUUGUCAGAGAAGAACGUGUGCGAGAGUAACUGUUCGUGCAGUGACGGUAUCUGGCCAGAAAGCCACGGCUAACUACGUGCCAGCAGCCGCCGUAA
rnacentral:rRNA from 1 species